AUUGAACGCUGGCGGCAUGCCUUACACAUGCAAGUCGAACGGCAGCACGGGAGCAAUCCUGGUGGCGAGUGGCGAACGGGUGAGUAAUAUAUCGGAACGUGCCCAGUAGUGGGGGAUAGCCCGGCGAAAGCCGGAUUAAUACCGCAUGAGACCUGAGGGUGAAAGCGGGGGAUCGCAAGACCUCGCGCUAUUGGAGCGGCCGAUAUCAGAUUAGCUAGUUGGUGGGGUAAAGGCCUACCAAGGCAACGAUCUGUAGUUGGUCUGAGAGGACGACCAGCCACACUGGGACUGAGACACGGCCCAGACUCCUACGGGAGGCAGCAGUGGGGAAUUUUGGACAAUGGGCGCAAGCCUGAUCCAGCAAUGCCGCGUGCAGGAAGAAGGCCU
rnacentral:rRNA from 1 species